rnacentral:rRNA from 1 species
AACGAACGCUGGCGGCAUGCCUAACACAUGCAAGUCGAACGAGACCUUCGGGUCUAGUGGCGCACGGGUGCGUAACGCGUGGGAACCUGCCCUUAGGUUCGGAAUAACUCCCCGAAAGGGGUGCUAAUACCGGAUAAUGUCUUCGGACCAAAGAUUUAUCGCCUUUGGAUGGGCCCGCGUUGGAUUAGCUAGUUGGUAGGGUAAAAGCCUACCAAGGCGACGAUCCAUAGCUGGUCUGAGAGGAUGAUCAGCCACACUGGGACUGAGACACGGCCCAGACUCCUACGGGAGGCAGCAGUGGGGAAUAUUGGACAAUGGGCGAAAGCCUGAUCCAGCAAUGCCGCGUGAAUGAUGAAGGCCUUAGUGUUGUAAAGCUCUUUUACCCGGGAUGAUAAUGACAGUACCGGGAGAAUAAGCUCCGGCUAACUCCGUG